rnacentral:sRNA from 1 species
AUAUCUUCUUCUUUUUUU